AUUGAACGCUGGCGGCAGGCCUAACACAUGCAAGUCGAGCGGUAGAGAGAAGCUUGCUUCUCUUGAGAGCGGCGGACGGGUGAGUAAUGCCUAGGAAUCUGCCUAGUGGUGGGGGAUAACGUUCGGAAACGGACGCUAAUACCGCAUACGUCCUACGGGAGAAAGCGGGGGAUCUUCGGCCCUCGCGCCAUUAGAUGAGCCUAGGUCGGAUUAGCUAGUUGGUGAGGGAAUGGCUCACCAAGGCGACGAUCCGUAACUGGUCUGAGAGGAUGAUCAGUCACACUGGAACUGAGACACGGUCCAGACUCCUACGGGAGGCAGCAGUGGGGAAUAUUGGACAAUGGGCGAAAGCCUGAUCCAGCCAGGCCGCGUGUGUGAAGAAGGUCUUCGGAUUGUAAAGCACUUUAAGUUGGGAGGAAGUGCAGUAACCUAAUACGUUAUUGUUUUGACGUUACCGACAGAAUAAGCACCGGCUAACUUCGUGCCAGCCGCCGCCGUAAAAC
rnacentral:rRNA from 1 species